AGUUGUAGAAUCACUGGUGAAUAAGGGGUGGGCAAGUUCUGGUGUCAGCCGCCGCGGUAAAACCAGCACCUCGAGUGGUCAGGAGAUUUAUUGGGCCUAAAGCAUCCGUAGCCGGUUGCAUAAGUUUUCGGUUAAAUCUAUGCGCUUAACGUAUAGGCCGCCGAAAAUACUGUGCAGCUAGGGAGUGGGAGAGGUACACGGUACUCGAUAGGAAGGGGUAAAAUCCUUUGAUCUAUUGAUGACCACCUGUGGCGAAGGCGGUGUACCAGAACACGUUCGACGGUGAGGGAUGAAAGCUGGGGGAGCAAACCGGAUUAGAUACCCGGGUAGUCCCAGCUGUAAACGAUGCAGACUCGGUGAUGCAUUGGCUUGUGGCCAAUGCAGUGCCGCAGGGAAGCCGUUAAGUCUGCCGCCUGGGAAGUACGUACGCAAGUAUGAAACUUAAAGGAAUUGGCGGGGGAGCACCACAAGGGGUGAAGCCUGCGGUUCAAUUGGAGUCAACGCCAGAAAUCUUACCUGGGGAGACAGCAGAAUGAAGGUCAAGCUGAAGACCUUACCAGACACGCUGAGAGGUGGUGCAUGGCCGUCGCCAGCUCGUGCCGUGAGAUGUCCUGUUAAGUCAGGUAACGAGCGAGACCCCUGCGUCUAGUUGCUACCAUUACUCUCUGGAGCAGUGGAGCGAAUUAGACGGACCGCCACAGUUAAUGUGGAGGAAGGAAGGGGCCACGGCAGGUCAGUAUGCCCCGAAACCCUAGGGCUACACGCGGGCUGCAAUGGUAUUGACAUGUGUUCCGAAUCCGAAAGGAGGAGGCAAUCAUCAAACAUAUCUCAGUUAUGACUGAGGGC
rnacentral:rRNA from 1 species